AUUGACUACUCGUACAUGCGGUUCCGAGCGCGCCGGCCACGCCCACCUGACGACGUUCGCUACGUUUUGUAGCU
rnacentral:sRNA from 10 species